rnacentral:rRNA from 1 species
AACGAACGCUGGCGGCAUGCCUAACACAUGCAAGUCGAACGAGACCUUCGGGUAUAGUGGCGCAUGCGUGCGUAACGCGUGGGAACCUGCCCUUAGGGUAGGACUAGCGUAACGAGCGCGGUAGUAAUGCCGGAUACUGUCUUCCGGGCACAGAUUUAUCGCCAUUGGAUGGGCCGGCGUUGGGUUGGCUGGUGGGUAGGGUAAAGGCCUACCAAGGCGACGAUCCAUAGCUGGGCUGAGAGGAUGACCCGGCACACUGGGACUGAGACACGGCCGAGACUCUUACGGGAGGCAGCAAUGGGGAAUAUUGGACAAUGGGCGAGAGCCUGAUCCAGCAAGGUUGCGUGAGUGAGGAAGGCGUUAGGGUUGUAAAGCUGUGUUACACGGGAUGAUAAUGACAGUACCGGGAGAAUAAGCCCCGGCUAACUCCGUG